rnacentral:rRNA from 1 species
UGAGUAACCUGCCUUUCAGAGUGGGAAUAACGUUUGGAAACGAACGCUAAUACCGCAUAACAUGAGAGAACGGCAUCGUUCUUUCAUCAAAGAUUUUAUCGCUGAGAGAUGGGCUCGCGGCCGAUUAGGUAGUUGGUGAGAUAACAGCCCACCAAGCCGACGAUCGGUAGCCGGACUGAGAGGUUGAACGGCCACAUUGGGACUGAGACACGGCCCAGACUCCUACGGGAGGCAGCAUG